GAUGAACGCUAGCGGGAGGCCUAACACAUGCAAGCCGAGCGGUAGAGAUUCUUCGGAAUCUUGAGAGCGGCGUACGGUGCGGAACACGUGUGCAACCUACCUUUAUCUGGAGGAUAGCCUUUCGAAGGAAGAUUAAUACUCCAUAAUAUAUUGAUUGGCAUCAAUUGAUAUUGAAAGCUCCGGCGGAUAGAGAUGGGCACGCGCAAGAUUAGUUAGUUGGUGAGGUAACGGCUCACCAAGACGAUGAUCUUUAGGGGGCCUGAGAGGGUGAUCCCCACACUGGUACUGAGACACGGACCAGACUCCUACGGGAGGCAGCAGUGAGGAAUAUUGGUCAAUGGGUGCAAGCCUGAACCAGCCAUCCCGCGUGAAGGACGACUGCCCUAUGGGUUGUAAACUCCUUUUGUAUAGGGAUAAACCUACCCUCGUGAGGGUAGCUGAAGGUACUAUACGAAUAAGCACCGGCUAACUCCGUGCCAGCAGCCGCGGUAAU
rnacentral:rRNA from 1 species